CUUAUCAAGAGUGGUGGAGGGAACGGCCCUGUGAAGCCCGGCAACCUGCUUAAAGCAAGGUGCCAAAUCCGGCGGUGACGAAAGAUGAG
rnacentral:ncRNA from 1 species